CACUGUUCUCAGGGCGGGGCGAAAUUCCCCACCGGCGGUGAGCAGGCCGAAACCUGCAAGCCCGCGAGCGGCUCCGGCGCAAGUUGGAGUGACAAGCAGAUCUGGUGUGAUUCCAGAGCCGACGGUCAUAGUCCGGAUGGAAGAGAACGUGC
rnacentral:ncRNA from 2 species